AAAGUCGUAACAAGGUAACCGUAGGUGAACCUGCGGUUGGAUCAUUAACAAAUAAUUUAGGCCCCUGGCUGCCUCAAAAGGGCGAAGGGGGAAAACCUAAACAUUUGUGUGCACCAUAUCUGUCCUUGGCAGUUCGAGUGUCCUGGGUCGCGUAACUGCCUCAGGUACCUACCGAGGCUUUCCUUUCGGGGUUUGCCAAAGUUGGGCUGCCGCUUCUAGAACAAACCUUUUGUAAUUUACUUUUGCCUGAAUUUGUUUGAUCUUUAUGAUUGAAUUUAAAUACAACUUUUGACAACGGAUCUCUUGGCUCUC
rnacentral:misc_RNA from 1 species